rnacentral:rRNA from 1 species
GACGAACGCUGGCGGCGUGCCUAAUACAUGCAAGUUGAGCGCUGAAGGUUGGUACUUGUACCAACUGGAUGAGCAGCGAACGGGUGAGUAACGCGUGGGGAAUCUGCCUUUGAGCGGGGGACAACAUCUGGAAACGAAUGCUAAUACCGCAUAAAAACUUUAAACACAAGUUUUAAGUUUGAAAGAUGCAAUUGCAUCACUCAAAGAUGAUCCCGCGUUGUAUUAGCUAGUUGGUGAGGUAAAGGCUCACCAAGGCGAUGAUACAUAGCCGACCUGAGAGGGUGAUCGGCCACAUUGGGACUGAGACACGGCCCAAACUCCUACGGGAGGCAGCAGUAGGGAAUCUUCGGCAAUGGACGAAAGUCUGACCGAGCAACGCCGCGUGAGUGAAGAAGGUUUUCGGAUCGUAAAACUCUGUUGGUAGAGAAGAACGUUGGUGAGAGUGGAAAGCUCAUCAAGUGACGGUAACUACCCAGAAAGGGACGGCUAACUACGUG